AAUUUUUUAGUAUAUUAUGUACAUUUAGCUUCCAACUAAAAAGACUAACUUGUUAGAAAAAUUA
rnacentral:tRNA from 1 species